rnacentral:hammerhead_ribozyme from 1 species
ACUCAGCUGACGAAUCUUAAAUAGGACGAAAUACGCGUCCUGUAU